rnacentral:misc_RNA from 1 species
UCCUGGUUAACCCAGGCAGUCUCAUUAGAGUUCCCAACUUUACUUGCUGGCAACUAAUGACAAGGGUUGCGCUCGUUGCGGGACUUAACCCAACACCUCACGGCACGAGCUGACGACAGCCAUGCAGCACCUGUGUAUCUGUCUAUUGCUAGAAAUAUACAUCUCUGUAUACGUCAAAUACAUGUCAAACCCAGGUAAGGUUCUUCGCGUUGCAUCGAAUUAAACCACAUGCUCCACUGCUUGUGCGGGUCCCCGUCAAUUCUUUUGAGUUUCACCCUUGCGAGUGUACUCCCCAGGCGGUAUACUUAUCGCGUUAGCUUCGGCACAGUUGGGGUUGAGUCCAACUACGCCAAGUAUACAUUGUUUAAGGCAAGGACUAC